rnacentral:tRNA from 1 species
UGCAUCGGCCGGGAAUCGAACCAGGGCCGCCGAGCAUUCUACCACUGAACCACUGAUGC